UAGGGAAUCUUCCACAAUGGACGCAAGUCUGAUGGAGCAACGCCGCGUGAGUGAAGAAGGCUUUCGGGUCGUAAAACUCUGUUAUUGAAGAAGAACGUGUGUGACAGUAACUGGUCAUGCAGUGACGGUAUUCAAUCAGAAAGUCACGGCUAACUACGUGCCAGCAGCCGCGGUAAUACGUAGGUGGCAAGCGUUGUCUGGAUUUAUUGGGCGUAAAGCGAGUGCAGGCGGUCUUUUAAGUCUGAUGUGAAAGCCUUCGGCUUA
rnacentral:rRNA from 1 species